rnacentral:snoRNA from 1 species
AGACAAGAAUGUGAGUCCAAUUAGCUGAAUGCACUGUUGAUGUGAGUUCUUCAAAUUACACUGAGACCUU